GGCAAAGGCAUCCUUCUUUAACCAGGCCUCAAACUGUCUGCAAUCACGGGUUUGGAUUUUAGCAGACUUUCCUGAUCUUGUUAAGUAUGAGAACAUGAAAACUCUACUUUUGUUGCUAGCCAUGCAGGGAGCAGUAAUGUUGGCCGGUAGCAGGUGGCCAGUGAAAUUUUGAAGCAAAAUAAACAGUCAAUCAUCCUUUGCAGGGGGGAGCAAAAGCUGAAACGUACACGGCCGUGACCUCUCCCCACUACACUGCAGGGCCCGCAGGACUGAGCCCGCGGGGUCAAGAUGGCACAUUCUGGCUCCUGGGUGACCCCCGCCCAAGGGUUCCUGCUGCUUUGGGCUGCGCUGCAUUUUAGUCCCUGGAGCCCCUGGACACUGGCAGACUCCGGGCUCAUUUUAGCACACACCUUGUCCCCCAACAGCUCCGCCAACAGCACGGGCACAAUGCCAGUCACUUGUCAGAGCUUCCACUGUUCGGGGGAGAGGUGCUAUCAGGCUGAAGCAUAUGGAAACAGCACCUUGUCCUGCUCUCUUAACGACAUGAACUGUGUGCUCCUCCGUCUCAACAGCACCAGCUAUGCAGCUGGCUGUACCAAGGAGUGUGGCAAAGCCAACAGCACAGAGAUGUGUCUCGCCAACAGCAGCACUGGCAUGAGCCCGUGCAUGCUGGAGUGCUGCAGCUCGCCAAACUGCCUGAGCCUGAAUGCCACAGCUUACGGAGACCUGCCGCUGCCCAUCACCACCACCACCACGCCAGCACCCACAACAACUACCACAAAAGCACCUCCCAAAAAUGGGAAAGUGUGCUCCAGCUUCACCUGCCAUGGAGAGGGAUGCUACAAGGGCCAGAAGGCCUCAUCCGGUUGCAUUGUUGGCUAUGAUUUCUGCGAGAUGAAGAAGACGGGCCCCCACUUCGUGGCCGGCUGCAGCAAAGAGUGCCGAACGAAGGGCAAGGCCUGCACCAAGGCCUCCAGGGCUCCUUGCUACCAGGAGUGCUGCCCAGCAACGCCCAAACUCAGCUGCCUGAAGCUGGACGGCCGCGUGCACUUCAACCGGGCCGGACGGGCCGAUCUGGCCCCGCUCCUCCAGCUCUUAGCUUCCGCAGCAGUCCUGGGACUGAGCUACGUCCUCCUGCCCCCUGCCUCCGGGCCCCAGUGAAGCGGAGCCGAGCCGGGCUCUGCAGCAGGCUUCGGCCCAUAGGCAAAGGAUCCCCCACCCCCCGCUUUCUUCGGCUUGGCUCUUGCUGGGCUGCCCCGGGAGCAGGCAGGAGGGAUGUGCAGAACCCAGGCGGCGCCUUCCGCGCCCCGCUUGCUCCUCGCUGCCAACGGGGCAGGGAUAAGGGAACCCGGCCCCGGCGGCCCCGCGGCUGAUGCGACUUUCCCAGGGAGACGGCCACCCACAGGGCAGACCGCAGCGCCCCCGACGGCAACGCGACCCUCCCAACGGCCUGGCCGGAGGAAGGGCUGAAGGGCACCUGUUGAGGGGCGCACCAGAGGAGGUUCCUCUGCCGCUGAGAGGGACGAAGGAGGCUCCGGAGCCUUGCGGCUGGGCAGGCACGGAGGCCCGCGGAGGCAGCUUGGCUCCUUCGCCCGGGUCGAAGCAACUGGUACCCGAAGGUUCCCUUUUGCCCGGCCCUGCCCUGCGUAACUGUUCCGCCCCCGCCGGUGGGAGCAGCGGAGCGGAGCGGCCGGCUUCUCUUCCGCCACGGCUCGCCUCUCUGGGGCUCCCAGCUCUGGCGCUGCUGUUCUGCCUGCAUCCGCCUUGCAAAUAAAC
rnacentral:lncRNA from 1 species